UACGGAGGAUGCAAGCGUUAUCCGGAAUGAUUGGGCGUAAAGCGUCCGCAGGUGGCCCUGUAAGUCUGCUGUUAAAGAGUGAGGCUUAACCUCAUAAAAGCAGUGGAAACUACAGAGCUAGAGUGCGUUCGGGGCAGAAGGAAUUCCUGGUGUAGCGGUGAAAUGCGUAGAUAUCAGGAGGAACACCUGCGGUGUAGACGGCUUACUGGACCAUAACUGACGCUGAGGCACGAAAGCGUGGGUAGCAAACAGG
rnacentral:rRNA from 1 species